rnacentral:misc_RNA from 1 species
ACUCCAGUUUAAAGCCUCACAAACAAACAAAUUUUCAAUAAAUACUAAACGAGACGGAGACAAUAAAAUGUCAACCAAAUCAGUAAUCAAAGAUUCCAGACCAACCACUCACCCUCCGCCCCAAAAAUAACAAGGGAUGGGCACUGAGGUCUGAUGCCUAUCAAGCCAUCAAACUGGCAAACGAGUCCCUGUCGCUGGGGCUUAGACAAAAGUCAAAGGACCAAAGGACCGGGCCAAGUGUCACUGACAUCGGAAAUCCGAGGAGGAGCGACGACGAAAUGGAAGGUGGAACCCGCCCCCUCAGAGCUCUGCUCAGCUACGUCCUGGCUGAUUUUAGUCUGCAUUAUUGAUGUUUUCGUUCCGUCUAAAAAGGGAAUCAACAAAAGUGGGUAUGGGGGAGGAUAAAUAUCGAACCACCCUCCUGAUAUCCACGUUCGAUACCGUACACCUCGCCACCCAACCGCCCUUUUGUUUCGUUCGAUUGACGCUUAUCUUAAUGGACCAAACAUAUGGCAAU